GACGAACGCUGGCGGCGUGCUUAACACAUGCAAGUCGAACGGAAAGGCCCCUUUGGGGGUACUCGAGUGGCGAACGGGUGAGUAACACGUGAGUAACCUGCCCUUGACUUCGGGAUAACUUCAGGAAACUGGGGCUAAUACCGGAUAGGAAUCCUUGCUGCAUGGUGGGGGUUGGAAAGCUUCGGCGGUUUUGGAUGGACUCGCGGCUUAUCAGCUUGUUGGUGGGGUAGUGGCUUACCAAGGCUUUGACGGGUAGCCGGCCUGAGAGGGCGACCGGCCACAUUGGGACUGAGAUACGGCCCAGACUCCUACGGGAGGCAGCAGUGGGGAAUAUUGCACAAUGGGCGGAAGCCGGAUGCAGCAACGCCGCGGGCGGGAUGACGGCCUUCGGGUUGGAAACCGCUUUCAGCAGGGGCGAAGCUUGUGGUGACGGUACCUGCAGAAGAAGCACCGGCUAACUAUGUG
rnacentral:rRNA from 1 species